rnacentral:rRNA from 1 species
UGACAGGCUUAACACAUGCAAGUCGAGGGGCAGCACAGGUAGCAAUACCGGGUGGCGACCGGCGCACGGGUGAGUAACGCGUAUGCAACUUACCUAUCAGAGGGGGAUAACCCGGCGAAAGUCGGACUAAUACCGCAUGAAGCAGGGGCCCCGCAUGGGGAUAUUUGCUAAAGAUUCAUCGCUGAUAGAUAGGCAUGCGUUCCAUUAGGCAGUUGGCGGGGUAACGGCCCACCAAACCGACGAUGGAUAGGGGUUCUGAGAGGAAGGUCCCCCACAUUGGUACUGAGACACGGACCAAACUCCUACGGGAGGCAGCAGUGAGGAAUAUUGGUCAAUGGCCGAGAGGCUGAACCAGCCAAGUCGCGUGAGGGAUGAAGGUUCUAUGGAUCGUAAACCUCUUUUAUAAGGGAAUAAAGUGCGGGACGUGUCCCGUUUUGUAUGUACCUUAUGAAUAAGGAUCGGCUAACUCCGUGCCAGCAGCCGCGGUAAUACGGAGGAUCCGAGCGUUAUCCGGAUUUAUUGGGUUUAAAGGGUGCGUAGGCGGCCUUUUAAGUCAGCGGUGAAAGUCUGUGGCUCAACCAUAGAAUUGCCGUUGAAACUGGGAGGCUUGAGUAUGUUUGAGGCAGGCGGAAUGCGUGGUGUAGCGGUGAAAUGCAUAGAUAUCACGCAGAACCCCGAUUGCGAAGGCAGCCUGCCAAGCCAUUACUGACGCUGAUGCACGAAAGCGUGGGGAUCAAACAGGAUUAGAUACCCUGGUAGUCCACGCAGUAAACGAUGAUCACUAGCUGUUUGCGAUACACUGUAAGCGGCACAGCGAAAGCGUUAAGUGAUCCACCUGGGGAGUACGCCGGCAACGGUGAAACUCAAAGGAAUUGACGGGGGCCCGCACAAGCGGAGGAACAUGUGGUUUAAUUCGAUGAUACGCGAGGAACCUUAUCCGGGUUUGAACGCAUUCGGACCGAGGUGGAAACACCUUUUCUAGCAAUAGCCGUUUGCGAGGUGCUGCAUGGUUGUCGUCAGCUCGUGCCGUGAGGUGUCGGCUUAAGUGCCAUAACGAGCGCAACCCUUGCCACUAGUUACUAACAGGUAAAGCUGAGGACUCUGGUGGGACUGCCAGCGUAAGCUGCGAGGAAGGCGGGGAUGACGUCAAAUCAGCACGGCCCUUAUAUCCAGGGCGACACACGUGUUACAAUGGCGUGGACAAAGGGAAGCCACCUGGCGACAGGGAGCGAAUCCCCAAACCACGUCUCAGUUCGGAUCGGAGUCUGCAACCCGACUCCGUGAAGCUGGAUUCGCUAGUAAUCGCGCAUCAGCCAUGGCGCGGUGAAUACGUUCCCGGGCCUUGUACACACCGCCCGUCAAGCCAUGGGAGCCGGGGGUACCUGAAGUCCGUAACCGCGAGGAUCGGCCUAGGGUAAAACUGGUGACUGGGGCUA